rnacentral:rRNA from 1 species
GCAAGUCGAACGAUGAUGCCCAGCUUGCUGGGUGGAUUAGUGGCGAACGGGUGAGUAAUACGUGAGUAACCUGCCCUUGACUCUGGGAUAAGCCUGGGAAACUGGGUCUAAUACUGGAUACUACCGUCCAUCGCAUGGUGGGUGGUGGAAAGGGUUUUACUGGUUUUGGAUGGGCUCACGGCCUAUCAGCUUGUUGGUGGGGUAAUGGCUCACCAAGGCGACGACGGGUAGCCGGCCUGAGAGGGUGACCGGCCACACUGGGACUGAGACACGGCCCAGACUCCUACGGGAGGCAGCAGUGGGGAAUAUUGCACAAUGGGCGGAAGCCUGAUGCAGCGACGCCGCGUGAGGGAUGACGGCCUUCGGGUUGUAAACCUCUUUCAGUAGGGAAGAAGCGAGAGUGACGGUACCUGCAGAAGAAGCGCCGGCUAACUACGUGCCAGCAGCCGCGGUAAUACGUAGGGCGCAAGCGUUGUCCGGAAUUAUUGGGCGUAAAGAGCUCGUAGGCGGUUUGUCGCGUCUGCUGUGAAAGCCCGGGGCUCAACCCCGGGUCUGCAGUGGGUA